UUUGCACAAUGGGGGAAACCCGUACGAUGCAGCCAUGCCGCGUGUGUGAAGAAGGCCUUCGGGUUGUAAAGCACUUUCAGUAGGGAGGAAGGUAGUGUAGUUAACACCUGCAUUAUUUGACGUUACCUACAGAAGAAGCACCGGCUAACUCCGUGCCAGCAGCCGCGGUAAUACGGAGGGGUGCGAGCGUUAAUCGGAAUUACUGGGCGUAAAGCGCAUGCAGGCGGCCUGUUAAGUCAGAUGUGAAAGCCCGGGGCUUAACCUCGGAAUUGCAUUUGAAACUAGGCAGGCUAGAGUCUUGUAGAGGGGGGUAGGAAUUUCAGGUGUAGCGGUGAAAUGCGUAGAGAUCUGAAGGAAUACCAGUGGCGAAGGCGGCCCCCUCGGACAAAGACUGACGCUCAGAUGCGAAAGCGUGGGGAGCAAACAGGAUUAGAUACCCUGGUAG
rnacentral:rRNA from 1 species